UACGUAGGGUGCGAGCGUUGUCCGGAAUUAUUGGGCGUAAAGAGCUUGUAGGCGGUCUGUCGCGUCUGCUGUGAAAAUCCGGGGCUCAACCCCGGACUUGCAGUGGGUACGGGCAGACUAGAGUGUGGUAGGGGAGACUGGAAUUCCCGGUGUAGCGGUGAAAUGCGCAGAUAUCGGGAGGAACACCAGUAGCGAAGGCGGCUCUCUGGGCCGUGACUGACGCUGAGGAGCGAAAGCGUGGGGAGCGAACAGG
rnacentral:rRNA from 1 species